rnacentral:rRNA from 1 species
AUUGAACGCUGGCGGCAUGCCUUACACAUGCAAGUCGAACGGCAGCACGGGUGCUUGCACCUGGUGGCGAGUGGCGAACGGGUGAGUAAUAUAUCGGAACGUACCUUAUUGUGGGGGAUAACGCAGCGAAAGCUGUGCUAAUACCGCAUAAUCCCUAAGGGGGAAAGCGGGGGACCGUAAGGCCUCGCGCAAUUAGAGCGGCCGAUACCUGAUUAGCUAGUUGGUGAGGUAAAGGCUCACUAAGGCAACGAUCAGUAGCUGGUCCGAGAGGACGAUCAGCCACGCUGGGACUGAGACACGGCCCAGACUCCUACGGGAGGCAGCAGUGGGGAAUUUUGGACAAUGGGGGCAACCCUGAUCCAGCAAUGCCGCGUGAGUGAAGAAGGCCUUCGGGUUGUAAAGCUCUUUUGUCAGGGAAGAAACAGCAGCUCUAACACAGUUUGCGAAUGACGGUACCUGAAGAAUAAGCACCGGCUAACUACGUGCCAGCCGCCGCCGUAA